AACUGUCAAUGAUGAUUUUGCUUUUGACAAUGGGAAUCUCUCUGAAAAAGAAUGAAAGAUGAUGUCUAACUGACACAGUG
rnacentral:snoRNA from 1 species